rnacentral:lncRNA from 1 species
GUCAGACGUGCGACAGGAAGGGCUCAGCGAGGCGAGAGCGAAGCUGUGAGGAAGGAAGGCAGGGCCCUGGAGUGACUUUCUUUGAAGCUGGUGUCCACUCACUCUUUCUCUCCAGAGCUUUGGCCAGCUAGCCCCAGAAAUCUUCCAGUGGCCCAUCAGAGAGCAAGCUGGCAGAGCUGUCACUCCCGCCAUGGAAGUCAGCACAUAAAACAUUCUACUGUGGAAAUCAGAAAAAGCAAGAUUAUCUUAGGAGAAACACAAUCUCUCGUCUUAAAGAUGAAAGGACUGCACCUUGAGAGGCCCUUCCUGUUGAGUUGUCAUCUGAACAAAUCAGAGUGGUGGUUGAGGACACCAGAUGUAUUAUUUCCUGCCACAGCAAAUUGGAGGGCUCGCACUGUUCCACCGCCAUCAACUUAGGAAGCAAUUGAAUUUGUUGAUUAUCUUUGCAAGAGGGAGAAGCUUAGCAUCAAUGAAGACAUUGGUAUUUGGUAGGUAUUCAUUUAAUCUC